UACGGAGGAUGCAAGCGUUAUCCGGAAUUAUUGGGCGUAAAGCGUCCGUAGGUGGCUUUACAAGUCAGCUGUUAAAGCGUGGAGCUUAACUCCAUAAAGGCAGUUGAAACUGUGAGGCUAGAGUGCGGUAGGGGUAAGGGGAAUUCCCAGUGUAGCGGUGAAAUGCGUAGAUAUUGGGAGGAACACCAGUGGCGAAGGCGACUACCUGGCCUGUUCUUGACGCUGAGGCGCGAAAGCUAGGGGAGCAAACGGG
rnacentral:rRNA from 1 species